GACGAACGCUGGCGGCGUGCUUAACACAUGCAAGUCGAGCGGAUCGGCGAACGGGUGAGUAACGCGUGAGUAACUGCCCCCCUCCCUGGGAUAACAGUUGGAAACGGCUGCUCAUACCGGAUAGUGGGGGAUGGCUCGCGUCCUCUCAGCUUGUUGGUGGGGUAGUGGCCUACCAAGUCGACGACGGGUCGCCGGCCUGAGAGGGCGACCGGCCACAUUGGUCUGAGUGACGGCACAAACGCCAACGGGGUGCAGCAGUGGGAAAUAUUGCACAAGGGGGGAAACCAUGAUGCAGCAACGCCGCGUGGGAGAUGACGGCCGUCGGGGUGUAAACCGCUUUCAGCCAUGACGCGGUAGUGGCAGAAGAAGCACCGGCUAACUACGUGCCAGCAGCCGCGGUAAUAC
rnacentral:rRNA from 1 species